rnacentral:lncRNA from 1 species
UUUGACUUUAGACCGCCGAAAGUCCAUUUUUAAAGGAUGAUGUUCUUCACCUCAAAUGGUUCGGCCGCCGAACUUUAGCCUUAGGCCGCCGAACCUGAGUUUUUCUGAGCAUGACAUAACGGUUAUUUCUGAACAUAAACGACUCUAUUUGCAUUUAAUGCACCUCCAACGGCCAUAUUUAUGACUGAACUAUAAAUACAAUGAGUUUUUGAUAUGAAAAGGUUACAACAACCAUCUAAGCAAAUACUUAUUGUGAUUAAAGCUUUUUCCACUCUCUCUUUCUCAAAACCUUGAGCCAAAGCAUUAAUUUCUUGAAAGUUUGUCUUGAGUUGUAUUGGUUGG